GUGGGGAAUCUUGCGCAAUGGGCGAAAGCCUGACGCAGCCAUGCCGCGUGAAUGAUGAAGGUCUUAGGAUUGUAAAAUUCUUUCACCGGGGACGAUAAUGACGGUACCCGGAGAAGAAGCCCCGGCUAACUUCGUGCCAGCAGCCGCGGUAAUACGAAGGGGGCUAGCGUUGCUCGGAAUUACUGGGCGUAAAGGGCGCGUAGGCGGACAGUUUAGUCAGAGGUGAAAGCCCAGGGCUCAACCUUGGAAUUGCCUUUGAUACUGGCUGUCUUGAGUACGGGAGAGGUGAGUGGAACUCCGAGUGUAGAGGUGAAAUUCGUAGAUAUUCGGAAGAACACCAGUGGCGAAGGCGACUCACUGGCCCGUUACUGACGCUGAGGCGCGAAAGCGUGGGGAGCAAACAGGAUUAGAAACCCGGGUAGUCC
rnacentral:rRNA from 1 species